GAAAAUUAAAUAAAAACACAGGAAAAUGGAAUUGAAAUAGAAUGACGUGUUUACCUCGGCGAAACAAUAAGGAUGACUUAUCCACUUAGAGCGGCAGGUUCAGAUCUUAAUAUGUUCUAGAAACACCACAACAUACAACUGAACAAUGCAACACUUACAAUUUGAUAACAAUUAGGGCUGGGCGAUAUGGCCAAAAUCUCAUAUCCCGAUAUAGAUCAGUUUCUGUAAAUUCAAUUUAUAAAUAGUUGAUAUAAAAUGACCACAUGUAAAGGCCUAUUUCUUAUUACAUUUUGAAUUAUACUCAACAAAUAAAAAGGUACUUACUCAUAUUUGAUUAUUUAUUUUAUUUAGAACCUGUGCAAAUUUUCAAUUAAGCAUGAAACAAAAUAUAAAAUAUGAAUGUAUAAAAUCUAAAACGGUCAAUAGAAAACACUUCAACUAUAGUUGCAAACAAAAUAAAUAUAGGCCUAAAAUAUAUAUAUUUUGGGGGGGCUUGCCUGUUUUGCAUGUUAUUUUGUCAUUAAUACGUGUCACAUACCAAUUUGGUACCUUGGGUCAAGUGUCAGCACCAACUCACGAAACCCUCGUUUCUCGACCGUGUAAACUGGGGCCAUGUCUUUGCAGAUGGAAGUUGUAAUGGCAGCUGUUACCUCCUUCCAUCUUCGUGAUUCAUUGCCAUAUAGUGUGCCGUGGGCAAAAGCCUCUUGCAACGAGUCGGGGGUUUGAUUGGAGCACUCGACUGUACUUUGUUGGGUCUCAUCCGUAGACUCUCUCUGUAUUGUUUGACAUGAUGCUUGCGUAGGUGGUAAAAGAGAUUAGUGGUGUUUGAGCCUGUUGUUGGGACCGUGUAGGUGGUAAAAGAGAUUAGUGGUGUUUGAGCCUGUUGUUGGGACCGUGUAGGUGGUAAAAGAGAUUAGUGGUGUUUGAGCCUGUUGUUGGGACCGUGUAGGUGGUAAAAGAGAUUAGUGGUGUUUGAGCCUGUUGUUGGGACCGUGUAGGUGGUAAAAGAGAUUAGUGGUGUUUGAGCCUGUUGUUGGGACCGUGUAGGUGGUAAAAGAGAUUAGUGGUGUUUGAGCCUGUUGUUGGGACCGUGUAGGUGGUAAAAGAGAUUAGUGGUGUUUGAGCCUGUUGUUGGGACCGUGUAGGUGGUAAAAGAGAUUAGUGGUGUUUGAGCCUGUUGUUGGGACCGUGUAGGUGGUAAAAGAGAUUAGUGGUGUUUGAGCCUGUUGUUGGGACCGUGUAGGUGGUAAGAGGUUAGUGGUGUUUGAGCCUGUUGUUGGGACCGUGUAGGUGGUAAGAGGUUAGUGGUGUUUGAGCCUGUUGUUGGGACCGGUCUGCGGUAUAUUUUUCAGUGGACGGUUUUCUGGUCCAUGUCAGACUUUUCAUACCCAAACCACGUCCAUGUGACCGAAGUAGCCCCUCUUUUAGGUACGAGCCCCGUGUCACCGUGCUCUGUGUCACCGUGCUCUGUGUCACGUUCACUCUCCUCCAUGUUUGUUUGUGUUGCAAAUUUCCUUUCUCACAGCACAUGUGGAAGAACACAAAGCUUCGUCCAAUUGGUGAAAAAUAUUGCCGUAAAGAGUGUGAUUUGCAACAACGAAAUAUACAAUAGAGCACAAUAUGAAACGAUAGACGCUUUUCUAUCGUCACACGAUAUAUAUCGUCAUAUCGCCCAGCCCUAAUACUAGCCGAAGCAUAGAGGUAAACAUUGGGAGUGAGGUCUAACUCCAGUUGCUCUGAGCGGCUGUGGGACUGGG